rnacentral:rRNA from 1 species
UACGUAGGGGGCAAGCGUUGUUCGGAAUUACUGGGCGUAAAGGGCGCGUAGGCGGCAUGGCAAGUCAGGAGUGAAAGGCCUGGGCUCAACCGAGGAACUGCUUUUGAUACUGCCAAGCUAGAGUGCGGAAGGGGCGACUGGAAUUCCCAGUGUAGAGGUGAAAUGCGUAGAGAUCGGGAGGAAUACCGGUGGCGAACGCGACUCUCUGGCCGGCAACUGACGCUGAGGCACGAAAGCGUGGGGAGCAAACAGG